rnacentral:sRNA from 1 species
UGCAGAUUGGGACAAAGCAAUGGCGUUACUAUGACUUUGGUCCAAAGA